UUAGCUGAUUAGAGGUUGGCACCAGGUGUCUUCAAUAUUGAACCUUUCCACAAUAUUCUAAUUUUCUGACAUAGUCAAGUUGGGAUUUUCGUUAGUUGUCAGUUACAAUCAUUAAUAUUAAAGAGAUAAACACUUAAAAUAUGUCAGUCUGUGAGGAAUGAAUGUCUACAUUAUACAAGUUUCACCUUUUGAAUGGAAUUACUGAAAUUAAUCAACUUUUUUACGAUAUUCUAAUUUUAUGACGAGCACCUGUAUAUAAAAACCAUAUAGAAGUCUCUCUCUCUCUCUCUCUCGCUCUGUAACGCCGGACUCCACAGAGACAAGGGCAAGUUAACCACUCUUUAUUAUUAACCAUGAACACAAGGUAAAGGUCUUACUUAGACAGACACUGAAGGAGUCGGCUGGAGGGACAGGAACCAGGGGGACAGGAACGGAGAAGUGGCCAGUCCAUGAAGUGCGUAGGUAAUGUCCGACGGCCGGGGAGUGACUGUGGUGCUGGGGUAUAAAGGACUGGUGAGUAAACGGAGACAGGUGUGACUGGUUGGGCUUGACUGGAGCGAACGGAUCAGGCACAGGUGUGGAGGAUCAGGGGAGUGCUGAUGGAGGAGUGGCUGGACAGGCUGUGACUCUCUCUCUCUCUGUCUCUAUAUAUACUUUAGGAAAUUUCAUAAUAUCAUUUUGUGGUGAUAUCGGCCACUCCUCUUGGAUGUUUGACAGGGUUUAAAAUGAACGUAGGGAUUUUCGUACGUAAAGGGAGGAUAAAUGAGGCUGAAACUAACGCUUAUGGCUGUGGUUUAUCAGCGUUGUGAAACAUUUUUCUGCACGGUUACUUUGAACUGUGUUUAAGGCUGUUUGAUGUGUUUCUGCUCUGCAGGUCAUAAAGAGGACGGAGGAAAGGAUGGAGAGGGUGGAGUUACAUCCUUGGCAGUAACACUUCCGGUUCUGGUGGCUGUGCUGCUGCUGGUUGCUGCUGCUGUGUUGAUCUCCAGGUGUUACUGUCGGAACGAUGCAGAGAUGUUUGCACAGCAGCAGUUACAAAAACAAAGUGAUGGAAUCAAUGCUGAAGACAGAACAGAGAGAGAAGAUGGUGAGGAAGGUGGAGAGAAAGGUUCUUUGCAAUGACCCAGAGUCCAAUUUUUUUCGAAAGAGCCAGAGUCUGGAUUUUUAUGCCCCAGAAGUUCAAGGAACAAGACUGGAUCCUAAUGGCGAGCCAGAGAACCCAAUGGAAGAGCUAAGCACAUAUCCAGCAUGAGUUCAUAAUUUAAAGAAGUUCAUCUUAAAUUGUGGUUGUAGCAUUCAUAUAUUUUAUUCUGCAGCUUCCUGUAAACUUGGAAAUGUCUUAUUUUUAAAGGUUUUUAUCUCAUGUUAACAACAGCAAUUAACGGUGUAAAAAUGACGGCAAACGAUGUAAAAUGUAUUUCACGGAGCUAAUACAGUAAUAAGCUGCAGUAAAAAGCACAGUACCAGCGUCAGCACCAGUCGAAAGUGCCAACAAGUUAAAUGCAAUGACUACAUUAAGGCAUGUAAAAAAAUCUGUUAUUUUUUUUUGUUUUUUUGGGGGGGGGUAAAUAUUGAUGCUGUAAGCUAACUGAGGUAUCAGAAGUAACGCCAUACAUUUUUUGUGUUUAUGUCUUGUUUAGCUCUUACAUUGGUUUAUGAUUGGUUCAAGAAAGUUCGGAUGGAAUAAAAACCACUACAGACCAUCAGUUAAGAGUGUUUAUUCGACACUACAACAUUUAUUUAAUUCUUUUGUAUGCAUGAUCAAUGUUUGUAUUUAUUUUCUUUUGGGGGUUUAAUUAUAUUGUUCUUUGUUGACAGUUGCCAUUGUUCACACAAAAAAUGAGUUGCUACUGAAAUGUAUACCUUGUUGUUCAUUAAUGUUGCUCAGCUCCUUGGCUCCCAAAUCUAAUCUAGACUUUCUGAUCGCUUGGCCUUUGAAUGAUCAUUACAUCGUAUUUUUAACAUACUGUAAUCCACUUUACAUUGCUAAAUGGGUUUCAUGUGACUUGAUCUACAUCAUUGAAUAACAUCUAAUCUAAGUCAUAAUACCACAUACUGAAGUGUUUAUCUGACCUUCUAUUGUAGACUACAAAAAAGUUUUUUGUUUGAUGCAGAUCCCUGCAAAAAGGACCACAAUGAUUUUAAAGUGGGUUGCAAUUAAAAUGAGAAAAAAUGAAAAUAAUGAUGAACAUUUCCUCUAAUAUCACAAAUUUAAUGCAGUUUCAGUUUGUCAAAGUGAUCACAUAAGAUUUUGUUACUCAAAAUGAUUAGAGCUCUAAGGAUUUCAGUGUGUUGUGUAACAAUGGUUUAUUACUUCAAGUACUGAAGAAGCUGUGAGCACUUAUGACCAAGUUGAUAUUGUGUGAUGAAUUUGUGAUCUUGUAUUUAAAAUGACUAAAAAAAAAAAAAAUAUAUAUAUG